rnacentral:rRNA from 1 species
GAUGAACGCUGGCGGCGUGCCUAAUACAUGCAAGUCGAGCGAACGGACGAGAAGCUUGCUUCUCUGAUGUUAGCGGCGGACGGGUGAGUAACACGUGGAUAACCUACCUAUAAGACUGGGAUAACUUCGGGAAACCGGAGCUAAUACCGGAUAAUAUUUUGAACCGCAUGGUUCAAAAGUGAAAGACGGUCUUGCUGUCACUUAUAGAUGGAUCCGCGCUGCAUUAGCUAGUUGGUAAGGUAACGGCUUACCAAGGCAACGAUGCAUAGCCGACCUGAGAGGAUGAUCGGCCACACUGGAACUGAGACACGGUCCAGACUCCUACGGGAGGCAGCAGUAGGGAAUCUUCCGCAAUGGGCGAAAGCCUGACGGAGCAACGCCGCGUGAGUGAUGAAGGUCUUCGGAUCGUAAAACUCUGUUAUUAGGGAAGAACAUAUGUGUAAGUAACUGUGCACAUCUUGACGGUACCUAAUCAGAAAGCCACGGCUAACUACGUGCCCCCAGCCGCGGUAAUACGUAGGUGGCAAGCGUUAUCCGGAAUUAUUGGGUGUAAAGCGCGCGUAGGCGGUUUUUUAAGUCUGAUGUGAAAGCCCACGGCUCAACCGUGGAGGGUCAUUGGAAACUGGAAAACUUGAGUGCAGAAGAGGAAAGUGGAAUUCCAUGUGUAGCGGUGAAAUGCGCAGAGAUAUGGAGGAACACCAGUGGCGAAGGCGACUUUCUGGUCUGUAACUGACGCUGAUGUGCGAAAGCGUGGGGAUCAAACAGGAUUAGAUACCCUGGUAGUCCACGCCGUAAACGAUGAGUGCUAAGUGUUAGGGGGUUUCCGCCCCUUAGUGCUGCAGCUAACGCAUUAAGCACUCCGCCUGGGGAGUACGACCGCAAGGUUGAAACUCAAAGGAAUUGACGGGGACCCGCACAAGCGGUGGAGCAUGUGGUUUAAUUCGAAGCAACGCGAAGAACCUUACCAAAUCUUGACAUCCUUUGACAGCUCUAGAGAUAGAGCUUUCCCCUUCGGGGGACAAAGUGACAGGUGGUGCAUGGUUGUCGUCAGCUCGUGUCGUGAGAUGUUGGGUUAAGUCCCGCAACGAGCGCAACCCUUAAGCUUAGUUGCCAUCAUUAAGUUGGGCACUCUAAGUUGACUGCCGGUGACAAACCGGAGGAAGGUGGGGAUGACGUCAAACCAUCAUGCCCCUUAUGAUUUGGGCUACACACGUGCUACAAUGGACAAUACAAAGGGCAGCGAAACCGUGAGGUCAAGCAAAUCCCAUAAAGUUGUUCUCAGUUCGGAUUGUAGUCUGCAACUCGACUACAUGAAGCUGGAAUCGCUAGUAAUCGUAGAUCAGCAUGCUACGGUGAAUACGUUCCCGGGUCU